UUUAUUUAUGUUCUGUUAUUUAUUUUCAUAUAUGAGUGGUUGGUUUGACUCUGUCCUAUGUUAUUGGUUUUUUUAAGUAUUUACAUGUAAAGUUUUUGUUUAUCAUUGUUUGCAGUGGUUAAUUUUGAAUAUUAAGUUAGUUUAGAUUUGGAUAUUAUUAUUAUAUAUUUUAUGAUUUUGUGCCAGCAUAUGCGGUUAUACAAUUAAUGUUAAUCAAUAUUUUUUGGUUUAAAUGAAGUUUUUUUUUUUUUGAUUUAAAUUUUUAAAUUUUUGGUGAAAUUUUUAUUUUUAGUUAUUUCUUUUAAGGAUUCUUUUGAAGUUUAAUUUAUUAGACUAGGAUUAGAUACCCUAUUAUUUUAAUUGUUAAUUUUUUACCAGGGUAGUAUUAGUUAUUUUCUUCAAACCUAAAGAGUUUGGCGGUGUUUUAGUCCUUUCAGAGGAACUUGUUCCUUAAUCGAUAGUCCUCGUUUUAUCUUACUUUAUUUUGUUUAGUAUGUAUAUCGCCGUUAUGAGAUUAUUUUAUUAGGAUUAAUUUUCUUUAUUCAUUAUUUUGUUUUAUUUCAGGUCAAGGUGCAGUUUAUAAUUAAGUGGAAAUGAGUUACAAUUUUAUUUUGAGAAUACGGAUUUUAUUUUUAAAAUUUUUAUAAAGGUGGAUUUGAUAGUAAUUUUGAUUAUAAGGUUAUUUUGAUUUUGGCCCUAAAAUAAGUACAUAUUGCCCGUCAUUCUCAUUAUUGAGACAAGUCGUAACAUAGUGGCCGUACUGGAAGGUGUGGCUAGGAUUUU
rnacentral:ncRNA from 1 species